rnacentral:rRNA from 1 species
CCUACGGGAGGCAGCAGUGGGGAAUCUUCCGCAAUGGGCGAAAGCCUGACGGAGCAACGCCGCGUGAGGGAAGAAGGCCUUCGGGUUGUAAACCUCUGUCCUAAAGGAAGAAAGAAAUGACGGUACUUUAGGAGGAAGCCCCGGCUAACUACGUGCCAGCAGCCGCGGUAA